UUUGUCAACUAGAAGGCGCUCGACAUCGAGACCGUCCAGCAGUCUGUACACGGUGGGAUGAUAUGGGCUUACAUGACUGCCUCCUCAGCUACAACUACUUGGGUAAUUUAGCUUAUUCUCUGAGGUAGCCUAAUCUUCUACAACCUCGGCAGUGGUGGCCACCUCUUCUUGGUUCAGAAACUGGUUGCCCAAAGCUAUUUCUUACUCGUUGACGUACUGAGAUAAACAUUGGUGGAUUCUAGGUGCACGCUCGUGUCUCAGACUCCACAGGGCACCAAGGUUGUUUUCCCUAUAAAAGAAUGCCGCCAAGGUCUCCUUGUUGGUCUUUUUAUAGCGAGUCACUGAAUAUAAGUUCCUGUGUUUUGUUAUCAUUUCGUGUUUCAAGAACCACAUAUUGUAAAAUAGAUUAAUAAACUAUUUUCUACUUCUUGAGGUUUGUUAUUAUUUUUUGUUUAUGUAUUGUUAAACCAGUGGGCGAAACUAGAAGUCAAACGGUCAUUUCACAUCAUGAAGCCUUUUGGCCCUACUCCCUUCUGGAUACUUUAAUAUUUUUAGGAGGGUAGCCGGAUCCUGGUAGUUCACUACCAUUCAAGUUUUAGUUGUGUUAAGAUGAAUAUUUCGAAACUAGGACAUCACUUGUAGACAACUGAGUCGAAA